rnacentral:rRNA from 1 species
AACGAACGCUGGCGGCAGGCUUAACACAUGCAAGUCGAACGCAUGCCUUCGGGCAUGGGUGGCAGACGGGUGAGUAACGCGUGGGAACCUACCCCUUGGUACGGGAUAGCUCCGGGAAACUGGAGAUAAUAACGUAUGUGUCCUGAGGGACAAAGAUUCAUCGCCAAGGGAUGGGCCCGCGUCGGAUUAGCUUGUUGGUGGGGUAACGGCCUACCAAGGCGACGAUCCGUAGCUGGUAUAAGAGGAUGAUCCGCCACAUUGGGACUGAGACACGGCCCAAACUCCUACGGGAGGCAGCAGUGGGGAAUAUUGGACAAUGGGCGCAAGCCUGAUCCAGCCAUGCCGCGUGAGUGAUGAAGGCCCUAGGGUUGUAAAGCUCUUUCACCGGUGACGAUAAUGACGGUAACCGGAGAAGAAGCCCCGGCUAACUUCGUG